CGGCCAUUAAUGAGAACAGCAUCAGGGAAGGGAAGACCUGUUCCAUUGUCCAAGGAAGCUUUCAAGUCCGUGUGGUUAGCCUUGAACCAAUCACCGGUUAAGAUGGUAAAAUCUCCAGCCGGAGGGGGAAAGGGCACUGGAAUCAUUGGCCGGCUGAGGAUCCUGAGUCCACCGAAGCCUCCAGCGGCCUUGUGAAAGGCAAGAGAAGGAAAGUAGAAGUAGCUGCCAAUUUGAUCCUUCAUUUGUAGGACAUAUGUGAAGUUCAUCCCAGG
rnacentral:misc_RNA from 1 species